rnacentral:misc_RNA from 1 species
AGCCCACUCAUCAUCAUCAUCUCUGUGAAAGAUAACUCAAAACCAUCAUCUAUAAGGGACCCUAAUUGUGCUAACUGAAGUAAAAAAGCAGAAUGCAGUUUUGAAAAUCAUGUUGAAACCUGUACUUCCUCGUGAUCCUAACAGCCUUUUUUUUCCCUAAAUUAAUUGCACAGCAUAUAAAAAGGUUAAUACUCCAUUUGUUUCAUAGGAACAUUUCAUGCAUUUUCUAGCAUUUGGGACAAUUAGAAAAAAUGAUCAAUGGAAAAUGUUUUCUUUUGAAAAUGACUUCUCAUUUUCAAAACAGGAUGUCAUUUUUUGGACUUCCACAAACUCAUUAAAAACAAAGGCAACUAUAAAGCAAUAAUAGAGGUACAUGUAGUUUACCAACCAUCAUCGACUAUCCUUGGCCAUCACAGCCACUGGCAGCCAACACCAAUUGCCAAUAAUAAGUGUAUAAUAUUUUUUUCCCAAAUUCAACUCUAAAUAGAAGAAUGUGAAAUUCUUAUAGGUCAAAUCUUUUUCAUGGCCUUAAAUAAUGAAAGAAAAUUAAUAUUUUGAUGUACUCCAAAAGCAAGAUAAUAAUUUCCAGCUAAUUUUCAACAAUUCUAAAAAAAAUUCCUUGAAAAAUAUUUUCAACAGAAAUCAUUUUCCAUAUAACAAUGAACCUAAACUACAAAAUGAUAGUGAUUUAUGGUUGCAAAAAUGCAAAUUGGUAAAAGAAUAUUUACUUAUUAGUAUUUUUAUAUCUAAUAAAAUAAAUAAAUAAAUGUGCGUGUGUGCACAUGCAUGCACUUCAGUUCAGUUCGUUUAAGUAAAAUGAAAUCUGCUACCAAACCUAUCAGUUCAGUUGAUCAAUUUUAUUGAAUUGGUUUUUCAAUUUCACAUUGAGUUUUCAGUUUUCUUUACCUGCCCGAAGGUUUCCUUUUGAACAUAUCAGACAGUAGUUUAAAAUAGGAGUGAUUAAUAUGCUGCAGCCAAAAGCGUCCAUCCAUCUAUAUUAUUACCAUCAUAAAUCAUUAGGCUCUCCAAUAUCCAUUAUUAUAGCACGGACUGUUUCUUCUAGCAUGAAUUUUGGCAUGGCUAAGUACUUAUAUGACUAAAUCCAAUGCCUGUAAGCUUGUAGUUUGAUGUUCAUAUACAACACAGAAUUAUUACAGUUACAGACCUAUUAAAAAAAGAGACAUGCCAACCAACAAAUUUGCUCCAC